UAAUGCAUCUAGACAUACUAAGGUCCUGAAAUUCGUUGAAGAGGGAAGAUGGAAUGUGACCAAGCUUAAGGAAGUCCUCCCCGAUAGUUUCAUUAGCAAUAUUUUGGAGAUUAAGAUUUAUGGGGGUAGCGAAGAUUUGCCAGUUUGGACAGUUGAUUCAAAUGGAGUCUUUACUUGUAAAUCGGCAUGGAAAAAUAUGAGAAAACCAAGGUCCAGAUCUUUCACUGCAUCUAUGGUGUGACACCAGAGAAUUCCUUUCAAAAUCUCAUUUUUCUGUUGAGGAUGAUUCGGUCCCGAUGAAAUAAUUCGGAAAUUUGGUAGAAUGGUUCCGUCCAUGUGAUCCUGCUGUACUAAUCACAAUGAGGAGACUGUGACUCAUCUCUUUUGCAAAAGCCAGAUUGCUACACAAAUUUGGCUAUUCUUUGGUAGAUGUUGAUGCAUUACCUUGAGAAUGGAAAAUAUCAUACAGAUUUUAAUGUCUUGGAGGCUAGCAAAAACAAAGAAUAAAAUCCAUGUUGCUUUGUUACAAUGUCUAUCGUUACUUAUCUGUUAUGAGAUUUGGAAGAGUAGGUGUGCUUCCAUAUUUGAAAAUAUUCACAUGUCCGAAAGGUUUAUAAUUCAGUAAGUUUCUAAAUAUAACUUUCUUUUUAAACAUUCUAUUCCCCAAAGUUAAUCUUCCUCAUCCUUGGCAUGUUUUAUGCACAACAGUGGAGACGACUAGACAGAUCAUUACCAACCAAUUGGUAAGGUGGUAUAAACCUGAUGAUGGAUGGGUAAAAUUAAACAUGGAUGGUUGUUGUAAAAGGAAUCCAGGAAACUUUGGCGGAGGGGGAAUACUCAGAAACAGUCAAGGUGCUUGCAUUUUCGCAUUUGAUAAUUACUUUGGUGUUAGGCACCCUCGGAUCCCGUGGUUCUAGCACGGUCACUUAAAUUGUUAUGAAUGGCUAAAAUCUGAUUUUAAUAUAUGAAGAGCCUAUGUGCCAAUUUUUCUUUUUACCACUUUUAUUUAACAUAAUAUUUAUUUGAGAAAGUCAACGUCGUUUAAAGUGUGUUUUCGGAUUGCGCCGCAUCAAAUGAACCCGCAAUCCUAGGCACACUCUAUUCAACGUUUUAGGAUUUGGAUUUGGGCCGCAAAAAAUGCCCACCCGUAUUUGAGAAUGUAAUUUAUUAAAGUCGCACCUAAUAGAGUCUAACGCGUUGUAAUCUUUUGGGAGGGUCGUGAAAUUCACUAAGCGACCCUUCCCGAUUUCUAAAAUAAUUUUUAAUUGAGGGCCCCACAAUUUGCAUUUUUAUUUGGCGAGGCUCGCCUCAACUCAAAUUUUAAAGGGAUUUUAUUCAACUAAAAUGAACUACGGAUAUUUAUGAAUUAAUUACUUCCUAUGUUUAGGGUUUUCAUAUAACGUUUCCCUUCCAAUCACAAGCAGUACACUCUCAAACGCAUUACACUUGAACUGUAGGCAUGAUAUUCACAACAUGAAUGGUAGUGGUCAGAAUGGUAAUAAGUAAAAUUGGUUUUACUCAUAGUGUGUUUUCUUCAUACUAAACAUUUCCUGGUCCCAUUUUCAAGUUCAUAUGGGAGGCUUAACAUGCAGAUUGGAAUGGAACUUUAAACAUUCAAAUAAAAAUCCAAUUUCACUUUAGUUCCAAGCUAAAACUUGGUUUUCUAUUCACAAUCAAAAAGUAAAUAGAAGAAAAUUUUAACUGAAGUCGGGCAACAAUUUGAACCUAAGCCGUUAUUAGAAUUGCCCAGAAUGUUGACACGAGAUGUUAUCAAAAUUGCAAAUAGGAACAAUUCAUUAAACAAUCAGAGACUAGCUUUACAGAUUGGACCAUAUACACAGUAAAUUACUUCAAUAUUGUUAAACAAAACUGAGAUAAUCCAAUUGGAAACACAAUUUGCGAGUUUAAAGAUAUUUCAAUUUUCCAACCGAACUGAAAUCCAAUAUAUAUUGACAACAUAUUAAAGCAACAGAAAUUCUAAGUUCAGCAGAGGUGUCAAAAUUUCAACCAAAACAUAACACAAGGAAUUUGGGAAAACUGACCUAACUGGAACAACAAUAUCACUAACAAAUUGGCCAAAUAGAGGCGAAAUUCAAGCCGAACCAGAACUCCGUACAGUGCAGCAUAUUAUGACAUUUAAUUGACAAUUAAAGCAAUUACAUUGUUGGAGAUUUGAAGUAAAUACCUUAAUAAGCAGUAAAAUAACUAGAACACCAAGCAAGAGCUGAAAUCAAUGGACUGGACAAAACGGCUACAACAACAUGCAGUGAACUCAACCAGCAAGGAAGUCUUUCAGCUCCGCCAGAUCCGAAAUCGUCCAGAGAACAUUAAAAAAGGAAUCUCAAGCUUUGAAUGGGCGAUGUAGCCUUCUGCUAAUGAAUUUUGUGUUUUCUUCCUUUGGGAUGUUCUGUGGGGUUUCUAGAAAUGACGAUGGAGAGGAAUCCCGUUAUUUCUGUGAUUUUUGUUUUGAUUUUGAGAUUUUUCCUUUUGGUGUUCUGUUCCCCCCGGAGGUUGUGAACGAGAGGGGAGGGGUCUUUUUAAGAUCCGGAGAUGAAGGAAGGGGUCACCAAAAAUCUGGAAGGGGUCACGCUUUUUCGUCUCC
rnacentral:lncRNA from 1 species